GAGGAGAAAUCUGGGGAGAAGAAGAUUGAGGAUCAAAGAAGGAGAGGAGGAGAGGUGGGCCAGCCACUCAGCUGCACAGCAAGUCACGGAGAAAGAAGUAAAGAAAGCUAUCUGUUCCAGUGUCGCUACAUCUUAGUACCCAGAAGACUGCAUGCUCUCCAUGCCAAGUCGGUGCUCAGUAGACAGCAGACACAUGAGGAAGAGAAGAAACAAGAGGGGCUCUGGAUAAAUGUCCUUAAAGCCACUGUGUUAAAAAUUGACUCAGGGGGGAAUUGCUGAGGCUAAAACCUCGUCAAAGUUUGAUGAGGGGCAGGCGGUGCUAGAGCCUCAGAUAUUCUCCCCAAAGAGUAUUUGUUACAAAGAGAACCGCAUUAUUUCCCAAAGGAAGCCUGACAGAUGCCACGAUAAACAGAUCAUCAAAAUUCAUUAUCUCCGAUCAUGGGAUUAGCAGGUGUCAUGAGCUGCCUGAUGGAAUGGACUGUGGGUAAGAAACAAAAAAGGCCUAGCCUAAGACAACUAGCCUACUCUGCAAAGAAAAAACAAGGUGGCAAGUUUGCAAGAGACUAAGAAACCCUUUCAGACAACGCAUUAACACACCAUGAGUAAUUAUUUCAGUGCUAGACUGAAAAAAAUUAAAUGUCCCAGCAUUGGGACACUGAGAAAAAUUGAGCUGCAAGUGAGGAGCCUCACUGUAAGUUUUCUUCUUGGUAAAUGUCCCAUGGUUCUGUCA